rnacentral:rRNA from 1 species
UACACACCGCCCGUCACACCAUGGAAGUCUGUUGCACCAGAAGUAGGUAGUCUAACCGCAAGGGGGGCGCCUACCACGGUGUGGCCGAUGACUGGGGUG